rnacentral:tRNA from 1 species
GGUCCCAUAGUUCAAUGGAUAGAAUUUAAGAUUCCGGUUCUUAAGAUAGAGGUUCGAGUCCUCUUGNNUGAU